rnacentral:rRNA from 1 species
UACGGGGGGGGCAAGCGUUGUUCGGAAUUACUGGGCGUAAAGGGCUCGUAGGUGGCCAACUAAGUCAGACGUGAAAUCCCCUCGGCUAACCGGGACUGCGUCUGAUACUGGAUGGCUUGAGUUGGGAGAGGGAUGCGGAAUUCCAGGUGAGCGGUGAAAUGCGUAGAUAUCUGGAGGAACACCGGUGGCCGAAGGCGGCAAUCCUGGACCAACACUGACACUGAGGAGCGAAAGCCAAGGGGAGGCAAACGGG